rnacentral:rRNA from 1 species
UGGGGAAUAUUGGGCAAUGGGGGCAACCCUGACCCAGCAACGCCGCGUGAAGGAAGAAGGCUUUCGGGUUGUAAACUUCUUUUAAGGGGGAAGAGUAGAAGACGGUACCCCUAGAAUAAGCCACGGCUAACUACGUGCCAGCAGCCGCGGUAAUACGUAGGUGGCAAGCGUUGUCCGGAUUUACUGGGUGUAAAGGGCGUGCAGCCGGGAGUGCAAGUCAGAUGUGAAAUGCAUGGGCUCAACCCAUGAACUGCAUUUGAAACUGUGCUUCUUGAGUACUGGAGAGGCAAUCGGAAUUCCUAGUGUAGCGGUGAAAUGCGUAGAUAUUAGGAGGAACACCAGUGGCGAAGGCGGAUUGCUGGACAGCAACUGACGGUGAGGCGCGAAAGUGUGGGGAGCAAACAGG